rnacentral:piRNA from 1 species
UUCAAAACACAAAAGCAAGCAUUUUUCCC